rnacentral:rRNA from 1 species
UUGAUCCUGGCUCAGGACGAACGCUGGCGGCGUGCUUAACACAUGCAAGUCGAACGAUGAUGCCCAGCUUGCUGGGCGGAUUAGUGGCGAACGGGUGAGUAAUACGUGAGUAACCUGCCCUUGACUCUGGGAUAAGCCUGGGAAACUGGGUCUAAUACUGGAUACUACCUCUUGCCGCAUGGUGGGUGGUGGAAAGGGUUUUACUGGUUUUGGAUGGGCUCACGGCCUAUCAGCUUGUUGGUGGGGUAAUGGCUCACCAAGGCGACGACGGGUAGCCGGCUGAGAGGGUGACCGGCCACACUGGGACUGAGACACGGCCCAGACUCCUACGGGAGGCAGCAGUGGGGAAUAUUGCACAAUGGGCGGAAGCCUGAUGCAGCGACGCCGCGUGAGGGAUGACGGCCUUCGGGUUGUAAACCUCUUUCAGUAGGGAAGAAGCGAGAGUGACGGUACCUGCAGAAGAAGCGCCGGCUAACUACGUGCCAGCAGCCGCGGUAAUACGUAGGGCGCAAGCGUUGUCCGGAAUUAUUGGGCGUAAAGAGCUCGUAGGCGGUUUGUCGCGUCUGCUGUGAAAGCCCGGGGCUCAACCCCGGGUCUGCAGUGGGUACGGGCAGACUAGAGUGCAGUAGGGGAGACUGGAAUUCCUGGUGUAGCGGUGAAAUGCGCAGAUAUCAGGAGGAACACCGAUGGCGAAGGCAGGUCUCUGGGCUGUUACUGACGCUGAGGAGCGAAAGCAUGGGGAGCGAACAGGAUUAGAUACCCUGGUAGUCCAUGCCGUAAACGUUGGGCACUAGGUGUGGGGGACAUUCCACGUUUUCCGCGCCGUAGCUAACGCAUUAAGUGCCCCGCCUGGGGAGUACGGCCGCAAGGCUAAAACUCAAAGGAAUUGACGGGGGCCCGCACAAGCGGCGGAGCAUGCGGAUUAAUUCGAUGCAACGCGAAGAACCUUACCAAGGCUUGACAUUCACCGGACCGCCCCAGAGAUGGGGUUUCCCUUCGGGGCUGGUGGACAGGUGGUGCAUGGUUGUCGUCAGCUCGUGUCGUGAGAUGUUGGGUUAAGUCCCGCAACGAGCGCAACCCUCGUUCUAUGUUGCCAGCACGUGAUGGUGGGGACUCAUAGGAGACUGCCGGGGUCAACUCGGAGGAAGGUGGGGAUGACGUCAAAUCAUCAUGCCCCUUAUGUCUUGGGCUUCACGCAUGCUACAAUGGCCGGUACAAAGGGUUGCGAUACUGUGAGGUGGAGCUAAUCCCAAAAAGCCGGUCUCAGUUCGGAUUGAGGUCUGCAACUCGACCUCAUGAAGUCGGAGUCGCUAGUAAUCGCAGAUCAGCAACGCUGCGGUGAAUACGUUCCCGGGCCUUGUACACACCGCCCGUCAAGUCACGAAAGUUGGUAACACCCGAAGCCGGUGGCCUAACCCCUUGUG